rnacentral:rRNA from 1 species
AUCUAUAGUCCCUUUGCUGCAUGCAUUCCAGGUCCCACCUGAUCUUGGAAGUUAAAUAGAGUUAGCCCUGGUUAGUAUGUGGAUGGGAGAUUACCAAUGAAUACCAGGUGCUGUAGGCU